rnacentral:rRNA from 1 species
GAUGAACGCUGGCGGCGUGCCUAACACAUGCAAGUCGAACGGAGAUUACGGACGGAAGUUUUCGGAUGGAAGACUGUAAUUCUUAGUGGCGGACGGGUGAGUAACGCGUGGGCAACCUGCCCUAUACAGGGGGAUAGCAGCUGGAAACGGCUGGUAAGACCGCAUAAGUCGGCGAGACCGCAUGGUUUUGCCGGGAAAUGAGCAAUCAGGUAUAGGAUGGGCCCGCGUCCGAUUAGCCAGUUGGCAGGGUAAAAGCCUACCAAAGCAACGAUCGGUAGCCGGACUGAGAGGUCGGACGGCCACAUUGGGACUGCGACACGGCCCAAACUCCUACGGGAGGCAGCAGUGGGGGAUAUUGCACAAUGGAGGAAACUCUGAUGCAGCGACGCCGCGUGAGUGAAGAAGUAUUUCGGUAUGUAAAGCUCUAUCAGCAGGGAAGAUGAUGACGGUACCUGACGAAGAAGCCCCGGCUAACUACGUG